AUUGAACGCUGGCGGCGUGCCUAAUACAUGCAAGUCGAGCGAACUGAUUAGAAGCUUGCUUCUAUGACGUUAGCGGCGGACGGGUGAGUAACACGUGGGCAACCUGCCUGUAAGACUGGGAUAACUUCGGGAAACCGAAGCUAAUACCGGAUAGGAUCUUCUCCUUCAUGGGAGAUGAUUGAAAGAUGGUUUCGGCUAUCACUUACAAAUGGGCGCGCGGUGCAUUAGCUAGUUGGUGAGGUAACGGCUCACCAAGGCAACGAUGCAUAGCCGACCUGAGAGGGUGAUCGGCCACACUGGGACUGAGACACGGCCCAGACUCCUACGGGAGGCAGCAGUAGGGAAUCUUCCGCAAUGGACGAAAGUCUGACGGAGCAACGCCGCGUGAGUGAUGAAGGCUUUCGGGUCGUAAAACUCUGUUGUUAGGGAAGAACAAGUACAAGAGUAACUGCUUGUACCUUGACGGUACCUAACCAGAAAGCCACGGCUAACUACGUGCCAGCAGCCGCGGUAACAC
rnacentral:rRNA from 1 species